rnacentral:rRNA from 1 species
UACGGAGGGUGUUAGCGUUGUUCGGAUUUACUGGGCGUAAAGCGCGCGUAGGCGGUUUAAUAAGUUGGAAGUGAAAGCCCAGAGCUUAACUUUGGAACUGCUUUCAAAACUAUUAAACUAGAGUAUGGUAGGGGAUAGUGGAAUUCCUAGUGUAGAGGUGAAAUUCGUAGAUAUUAGGAGGAACACCAGAGGCGAAAGCGACUAUCUGGGCCAUUACUGACGCUAAGGCGCGAAAGCGUGGGGAGCAAACAGG